rnacentral:rRNA from 1 species
AUUGAACGCUGGCGGCAGGCCUAACACAUGCAAGUCGAGCGGAUGAAGGGAGCUUGCUCCUGGAUUCAGCGGCGGACGGGUGAGUAAUGCCUAGGAAUCUGCCUGGUAGUGGGGGAUAACGUCCGGAAACGGGCGCUAAUACCGCAUACGUCCUGAGGGAGAAAGUGGGGGAUCUUCGGACCUCACGCUAUCAGAUGAUCCUAGGUCGGAUUAGCUAGUUGGUGGGGUAAAGGCCUACCAAGGCGACGAUCCGUAACUGGUCUGAGAGGAUGAUCAGUCACACUGGAACUGAGACACGGUCCAGACUCCUACGGGAGGCAGCAGUGGGGAAUAUUGGACAAUGGGCGAAAGCCUGAUCCAGCCAUGCCGCGUGUGUGAAGAAGGUCUUCGGAUUGUAAAGCACUUUAAGUUGGGAGGAAGGGCAGUAAGUUAAUACCUUGCUGCUUUGACGUUACCAACAGAAUAAGCACCGGCUAACUUCGUG